CAAUAGCGUAUAUUAAAGUUGUUGCGGUUAAAAAGCUCGUAGUUGGAUUUCUGUUUGAAGCGAUCGGUGCACCCUUUGGGUGAUCAUCUGGUGUGCUUUGGGCAUCCUCCUGGGGAACGUUCCUGCACUUGACUGUGUGGUGCGGAAUCUAGGACUUUUACUUUGAGGAAAUUAGAGUGUUCACUGCAGGCAUACGCCUUGAAUACAUUAGCAUGGAAUAAUAAUAUAGGACCUCGGUUCUAUUUUUUCGGUUUCUAGAGCUGAGGUAAUGAUUAACAGGGAUAGUUGGGGGCGAUUCGUAUUUAACUUGUCAGAGGUGAAAUUCUUGGAUUUGUUAAAGACGAACUACUGCGAAAGCAUUUGCCAAGGAUGUUUUCUAUUGAUCAAGAACGAAAGUUAGGGAGUCGAAGACGAUCAGAUACCAU
rnacentral:rRNA from 1 species